GUAGUAUAACUCUGACUGUACAUUACCCAAACUGAUUGUGACUGACAGUGAUGUAACCCAGGUUACAAGAGCCAGCACCUGUGAAUAGAGAAAAAUAUAUAUUACUACAUAUGUAAAUAAAAUAAGACUAUUUUAUUAAUAUCAUCCCAUUAUUUUAUUCAUAUUCAUAUUAUAUAUCGAAUUCUCAACUUAUACUAAGUGAAAUAGUUAAUAACAGAAAAUGUCUAGGAAAAUAAGCAAAAUUAGAAACUGGCCGUUUAAGAGUAACCCCUCCCUCAAGGUUGACGUCAAAAAAAAAAAAAAAAACAGAAAAAGGGGACUGAGGAGGACAAACAGAAAAAGGGAGAGAACGGUGAGAAGCGGAGACAUGGCGAUUUAGCAAAAACAGCUUUUGAACAGAGAUUUAAAGUGUUUUAAGUUAAGUCGAUCUGUAAGAGAAGUGUUUUGAAAUAUGAGAACAGUGUUCGCUCGUUAGCAUAAAGUGGUGCUUACAUUAGACGAUCGCGAUUGCACUGGAUCUGAAGAAAAUAGGAAACAGAAAAAAGGAGAGAACGGUGAGAAGCGGAGACAUGGCGAUUUAGCAAAAACAGCUUUUGAACAGAGAUUUAAAGUGUUUUAAGUUAAGUCGAUCUGUAAGAGAAGUGUUUUGAAAUAUGAGAACAGUGUUCGCUCGUUAGCAGUAAAGUGGUGCUUACAUUAGACGAUCGCGAUUGCACUGGAUCUGAAGAAAAUAGGAAACAGAAAAAAGUUAAUUCACUCGAGAGAAACCAAAAGAGAGAUUUUUAUUUUUCCAUCCGGGAUUGUUCUGUUUACUCACUAUUUCUCUUG
ensembl:lncRNA